UGGUAGUUCAGUGGUAGAGCGCUUGCUUUGCAUGUAGAAAGUCCUCAGUUCAAUCCCUGGCAUCUCAG